UCUGCCAUUCACAGAUGUCAAGUGAAUACAAUAGCUCUUUGAGAUGACGGAGCCAUGUGGGGCAGCAGCUCCAGUGACCCGAGCACCAUGGUGUACAAUUCUGCAAAGAUUCCAUAGCAACUGCAGAAAAAAAUGGUGGUGCUGGAGCUGUCAGUCAUUCAUCACUGUAUUUUAUGGAGCCAAGACCUUUGUAAGAGAACAUUUUAUCUGUUUCUGUAUUCAUUUGAGGCCCUCUGAAGAGAAAGUCAUCAUUCCCUUCAUUCUUCAUUGCUGCCUUAGGACAUGGACACCAAGCAAUUUCAAGAGUUGGGGGUGAUAAAUAUGGCCCUGAAUACUUCAGUUCUUGGUGAAAAAGCUUUAGCCUCACUAAAAUUAAAAGAGGUGAUCCUCACUUUGGAUCAACCCAGAUGGAAACAACUGUGCUAAUUUUACAUGGCCUUCCCACAGCUGGCAGAAUCCACAAAGUCCCCAGCAACCUGUCCUCUGAGGCUGGGGAUCUGUCUGAGCAAACAGGGCAGAGUUAUGUCCUUUCUGACAGCAUACAUCCUUUUAAUGAAUACAUCCAGAAAGAUGAGGAUGAAUAAUAAUUCUGGUUAUUCUGCUUUUGUCUGCUCCUCAGUUCAUCAGAGAAAAAGAUCUAUCACAAAAAUAUUUCAUUAUGUAAUAAAUUCUACUUGACCACUUUUUUCUCUUCAUGUCACAUACAGAACAGUACCAAAUAGUAAAAAGAAGUUAUGGAUUCCAGUAAUACAGGUGUAUGAGGAAAUAUCAAAAGAAUUCUCUCACAAUUUGCUUGAGAAAAGAGGAAUCUGGAAAUGUUUGGGAGACAAACAUUCUGCCUAAAUGCCAGCCACCAAACAGAAAUGAACCCUUAGAAAGUUGAAAUGGGGAAAAAAUUAAGCCUAUCAGAGAGCAGAGCUGAAGGUGGAAAACUCUUUCAAGGUAUUUUUAGUACAAACCAGAAUUUGUAAGAAAUAUGCUGGAGCAACUCAGGAAGAAAAAGACCUGUUGAAGCAGGAAAGGCAUGUGGAGCAGUCCCCAGUCUUGUCUUGUAGCUCCUCAUAUCCUCCUGUCCAUCCAGAUACCUAAUGGACAGCUUCUAGCCCGGCCACCAGACACACCUGGCACAUGAUAGAGCUUGCUCCUGCUGCACCUGGGACUCAUCUUGAGGUAAAGAAAGUGGGAGAGGCUGGCAAUCAAGAAAGCUUCCAGUUAUGUUUUUAGGAAAAAUAUAACUUAUGCAUUCUGGGUUCACAAAUCCUUUACUUGUGGGAUUUGUGCUCCUAAAUCUUGAAGGUGCUUCUGGAAAUAUUUAUUUUGAAAUAUGAAUGUAUUCAUUCUGGAAAACUCACCAAAAUGUUAACAAAUCCUAAGUCAGUAGUCUCACACCAAAGUCGACCUUCUCUAUUAUUGUUAGGAAGGAAAGUUGUUGGCAUCAGUUGAAUUGAAGGGGAUUUCCUUUUGUUUUGCAAUGUAUGCGCAGACAAGCAGGCACCAAGCUACAAGUGAGUAACUUUCCCACUAAUCCUCCAAGGCGUGUGACAAUAUGACCCUGAGAUUUUACAACUAAGAACAUUAUGGUAUGUAAAUAUUAUGAACAUAUAUGGUAAGUGCUGUACUUACUGAAAAACUCUGAAAAUGAUUCCUGGGAAUGCCUAGCUGACCCUAA